UUGAACGCUGGCGGCAUGCUUUACACAUGCAAGUCGAACGGUAACAGGCCGCAAGGUGCUGACGAGUGGCGAACGGGUGAGUAAUGCAUCGGAACGUGCCCAGUCGUGGGGGAUAACUACUCGAAAGAGUAGCUAAUACCGCAUACGAUCUAUGGAUGAAAGCGGGGGACCGUAAGGCCUCGCGCGAUUGGAGCGGCCGAUGUCAGAUUAGGUAGUUGGUGGGGUAAAGGCUCACCAAGCCAACGAUCUGUAGCUGGUCUGAGAGGACGACCAACCACACUGGGACUGAGACACGGCCCAGACUCCUACGGGAGGCAGCAGUGGGGAAUGUUGGACAAUGGGCGCAAGCCUGAUCCAGCAAUGCCGCGUGCAGGAAGAAGGCCUUCGGGUUGUAAACUGCUUUUGUACGGAACGAAACGGCUCUGGUUAAUACCCGGGGCUAAUGACGGUACCGUAAGAAUAAGCACCGGCUAACUACGUG
rnacentral:rRNA from 1 species